rnacentral:rRNA from 1 species
GAAACCAACAGGGAUUGCCCUAGUAACGGCGAGUGAAGCGGCAACAGCUCAAAUUUGAAAUCUGGCCUUCGGGUCCGAGUUGUAAUUUGUAGAGGAUGCUUUUGGCGCGGUGCCUUCCGAGUUCCUUGGAACAGGACGCCUUAGAGGGUGAGAGCCCCGUACGGUUGGACACCAAGCCUCUGUAAAGCUCCUUCGACGAGUCGAGUAGUUUGGGAAUGCUGCUCUAAAUGGGAGGUAAAUUUCUUCUAAAGCUAAAUACCGGCCAGAGACCGAUAGCGCACAAGUAGAGUGAUCGAAAGAUGAAAAGUACUUUGAAAAGAGGGUUAAAUAGCACGUGAAAUUGUUGAAAGGGAAGCGUUUAUGACCAGACCUUUGCCGGGCGGAUCAUCCGGUGUUCUUCACCGGUGCACUUCGCUCGGCUCAGGCCAGCAUCGAUUUCUGUAGGGGGACAAAGGCCCUGGGAACGUAGCUCCCUCCGGGGAGUGUUAUAGCCCUAGGCGUAAUACCUUUACGGGGAUCGAGGUUCGCGCUUCUGCAAGGAUGCUGGCGUAAUGGUCAUCAACGACCCGUCUUGAAACACGGACCAAGGAGUCGAACAUUUAUGCGAGUGUUUGGGUGUCAAACCCUCACGCGUAAUGAAAGUGAACGGAGGUGAGAGCCCUUUUUUGGGUGCAUCAUCGACCGAUCCUGAUGUAUUCGGAAGGAUUUGAGUAAGAGCAUAACUGUUCGGACCCGAAAGAUGGUGAACUAUGCGUGGAUAGGGUGAAGCCAGAGGAAACUCUGGUGGAGGCUCGCAGCGGUUCUGACGUGCAAAUCGAUCGUCAAAUCUGCGCAUGGGGGCGAAAGACUUAUCGAACCAUCUAGU